rnacentral:rRNA from 1 species
AUUGAACGCUGGCGGCAUGCCUUACACAUGCAAGUCGAACGGCAGCGGGGGAGAAGCUUGCUUUUCCUGCCGGCGAGUGGCGAACGGGUGAGUAAUACAUCGGAACGUGCCCUGUAGUGGGGGAUAACUAGUCGAAAGAUUAGCUAAUACCGCAUACGACCUGAGGGUGAAAGUGGGGGACCGCAAGGCCUCAUGCUAUAGGAGCGGCCGAUGUCUGAUUAGCUAGUUGGUGGGGUAAAGGCCUACCAAGGCGACGAUCAGUAGCUGGUCUGAGAGGACGAUCAGCCACACUGGGACUGAGACACGGGCCAGACUCCUACGGGAGGCAGCAGUGGGGAAUUUUGGACAAUGGGCGAAAGCCCGAUCCAGCAAUGCCGCGUGUGUGAAGAAGGCCUUCGGGUUGUAAAGCACUUUUGUCCGGAAAGAAAUGGCUCUGGUUAAUACCUGGGGUCGAUGACGGUACCGGAAGAAUAAGGACCGGCUAACUACGUGCCAGCAGCCGCGGUAA